rnacentral:rRNA from 1 species
CGUAGGGGCCAAGCGUUGUUCGGAUUUACUGGGCGUAAAGGGCGCGUAGGCGGCGAAUCAAGUCAGCUGUGAAAUCUCCGAGCUUAACUCGGAACGGUCAGCUGAUACUGUUUUGCUAGAGUGCAGAAAGGGCAACCGGAAUUCUUGGUGUAGCUGUGAAAUGCGUAGAUAUCAAGAGGAACACCUGAGGCGAAGGCGGGUUGCUAGGCUGACACUGACGCUGAAGCGCGAAAGCUAGGGUAGCAAACGGGAUUAGAUACCCCGGUAGUCCUAGCCCUAAACGAUGUAUGCUUGGUGUCUGGAGUUUUUAUCUCUGGGUGCCGUCGCUAACGCUUUUAGCAUACCGCCUGGGGAGUACGCACGCAAGUGUG